rnacentral:piRNA from 1 species
AGGGUAUGGGAACAGUCCUGGUGGU